AUUGAACGCUGGCGGUAUGCUUAACACAUGCAAGUCGAACGGCAGCAUGGCUUGUAGCAAUACUAGCUGAUGGCGAGUGGCGGACGGGUGAGAAACGCGUAGGAAUCUGCCCUAGAGAGGGGGACAACCCGAGGAAACUCGGGCUAAUACCGCAUAAACUCGAAAGAGAAAAGGCUGGGUGGGAACACCUGGUGCUUUAGGAGGAGCCUGCGUCCGAUUAGCUAGUUGGUAGGGUAAAGGCCUACCAAGGCGAUGAUCGGUAGCUGGUCUGAGAGGGUGAUCAGCCACACUGGGACUGAGACACGGCCCAGAAUCCUGCGGGAGGCAGCAGUGGGGAAUAUUGGACAGUGGGGGCAACCCUGAUCCAGCAAUGCCGCGUGUGUGAAGAAGGCCUUAGGGUUGUAAAGCACUUUAGGCUGAGAGGAAGGCUUGUAGUUUAAGAGAUGAUGAGCUUGACUGUAUCAGCAGAAUAAGCACCGGCUAACUCUGUGCCAGCAGCCGCAGUAA
rnacentral:rRNA from 1 species